rnacentral:rRNA from 1 species
GAUGAACGCUGGCGGCGUGCCUAAUACAUGCAAGUCUAGCGAACAGACGAGGAUUGUGCCUCUCUGCCGUUAGCGGCGGACGGGUGAGUAACACGUGUAUGACCUAUCUAUAAGACUGGCAUAACUUCGGGAAACCUAAUCUCACACCGGAUAAUAUAUUGAACCGCAUGGUUCUAUAGAGAUAGACCUAUUUGCUGACCCUUAUUCAUGUUUCCACGCCGCAUUAGCUAGUUGGUACGGUAACGGCCUACCAAGGCAACGAUGCGUAGCUGAUCUGAGAGGGUGAUCAGCCACACUGGAACUGAGACACGGUCCAGACUCCUACGGGAGGCAGCAGUAGGGAAUAUUCGGCAAUGGGCGAAAGCCUGACGGAGCCACGCCGCGUGAGUGAAGAAGGUCUUCGGAUCGUAAAACUCUGUUAUUAGGGAAGAACAAAUGUAUGAGAAACUAUGCACGUCUUGACGGUACCAAAACAGAAAGCCACGGCUAACUACGUG